rnacentral:rRNA from 1 species
AAUGAACGCUGGCGGCAUGCCUAACACAUGCAAGUCGAACGAGACCUUCGGGUCUAGUGGCGCACGGGUGCGUAACGCGUGGGAACCUGCCCUUAGGUUCGGAAUAACUCCCCGAAUGGGGUGCUAAUACCGGAUAAUGUCUUCGGACCAAAGAUUUAUCGCCUUUGGAUGGGCCCGCGUUGGAUUAGCUAGUUGGUAGGGUAAAAGCCUACCAAGGGGACGAUCCAUAGCUGGUUUGAGAGGAUGAUCAGCCACACUGGGACUGAGACACGGCCCAGACUCCUACGGGAGGCAGCAGUGGGGGAUAUUGGACAGUGGGCGGAGGCAUGAUCCAGCAAUGCCGCGUGAGUGAUGAAGGCCUGAAGGUUGUAAAGCUCUUUUACCCGGGAUGAUAAUGACGGUACCGGGAGAAUAAGCUCCGGCUAACUCCGUG